rnacentral:rRNA from 1 species
AUUGAACGCUGGCGGCAUGCCUUACACAUGCAAGUCGAACGGCAGCACGGGAGCAAUCCUGGUGGCGAGUGGCGAACGGGUGAGUAAAGUAUCGGAACGUGCCCAGUCGUGGGGGAUAACGUAGCGAAAGUUACGCUAAUACCGCAUACGAUCUAUGGAUGAAAGCGGGGGAUCGCAAGACCCCGCGCGAUUGGAGCGGCCGAUAUCAGAUUAGGUAGUUGGUGGGGUAAAGGCUCACAAAGCCGACGAUCUGUAGCCGGUCUGAGAGGACGACCAGCCACACUGGGACUGAGACACGGCCCAGACUCCUACGGGAGGCAGCAGUGGGGAAUUUUGGACAAUGGGCGCAAGCCUGAUCCAGCCAUGCCGCGUGCAGGAUGAAGGCCUUCGGGUUGUAAACUGCUUUUGUACGGAACGAAAAGGUUUGGCCUAAUAAGCUGAGCUCAUGACGGUACCGUAAGAAUAAGCACCGGCUAACUACGUGCCAGCCGCCGCGGUAA